rnacentral:rRNA from 1 species
AGAAUGAACGCUAGCGAUAUGCUUAACACAUGCAAGUUGAACGUUGUUUUCGAAUCAGAAUGAGAACAAAGUAGCGAACGGGUGCGUAACACGUGGGAAUCUGCCGAACAGUUUGGGCCAAAUCCCGAAUGAAUAAAAGCUAAAAAGCGCUGUUUGAUGAGCCCACGUAGUAUUAGGUAGUUGGUUAGGUAAAAGCUGACCAAGCCUACGAUGCUUAGCUGGUCUUUUCGGAUGAUCAGCCACACUGGGACUGAGACACGGCCCAGACUCCUACGGGAGGCAGCAGUGGGGAAUCUUGGACAAUGGGCGAAAGCCUGAUCCGGCAAUAUGGCGUGAGUGAAGAAGGGCAACGCAGCUUGUAAAGCUCUUUCAUCGAGUGUGCGAUUGUGACAAGACUCGAAUAAGAAGCCCCGGCUAACUCCGUGCCAGCAGCCGC